rnacentral:rRNA from 1 species
AUUGAACGCUAGCGGGAUGCUUUACACAUGCAAGUCGGACGAGUGGCGGACGGGUGAGUAACGUAUCGGAACGUGCCCAGUAGUGGGGGAUAACUACCCGAAAGAGUGGCUAAUACCGCAUACUAUUGGAGCGGCCGAUUUCGGAUUAGCUGGUUGGGGGGGUAAAGGCUCACCAAGGCGACGAUCCGUAGCGGGUCUGAGAGGAUGACCAGCCACACUGGGACUGAGACACGGCCCAGACUCCUACGGGAGGCAGCAGUGGGGAAUUUUGGACAAUGGGCGCAAGCCUGAUCCAGCCAUGCCGCGUGUCUGAAGAAGGCCUUCGGGUUGUAAAGGACUUUCAGCGGGGAGGCGUUAUCCGCAGAAGAAGCACCGGCUAACUCCGUGCCAGCAGCCGCGGUAAUUC